rfam:Monodelphis domestica chromosome 2, whole genome shotgun sequence.
AAAAAGGCUCUUUUCAGAGCCGCCUACUUUACUAAAAAGAUCCUGU